CCCGCUCUGAAAUCUGCACCGUUCUCGGCUCGCUGCACGGGGCUAGGAAUGGUGCAUUCUGCGCCGGCACCGAGCCUGCGGGGAGACUCCAUUUGUGGUGGGCUCUUUAGCGCGCCUGAGAGUCACUGAGCUAGGAAGGACUUUUAACCCAUCUGUAACGCUAGUCCCGGCCUUCUGCUUCGUCUAGGGCUUGACUCAAUUUCUCUUGACUCAGUUUCUCUUCAUGGUCACAUUUGCAAGCACAGGUGGCAAACGGCACCGGAGGACUCCAUUGUCCACUGUGCAGUUCGCAGGCAGGGUUUUUUCCCCACUCCUAAUUUCUAGCAUAGCCAUGAGCCAAAGAGCCCAGCAGGUUCUGCAGGCUGAUUUAGAGCCGCGGUGCCUCCUAGCCAAGCCGAAAGGGUUUGUGAAGAUGGGACUAAUUAGAAGUUAGACUAUUGUACUGGCGCACCAGGCAGUAGCCAAGAGGGAGCGAGCUGGAGUCUGUUGCCUCCGCACAGCUAAGGUAGAAGCUUGCUUUGCGUUACCAGACACGGCCUCUUGGAUCCCCUUUGCAGAGGAGAACCACUUCACGGAGCGAGGCGCCCCGUUAAAUCAUAGUGCUCCCCCGCAUUCCCGUGGUUCAGUGUCCCCAGAAUCCUGCACCAAUCUAACAUGGCGCGUUCCCUACGGUCCCCCCUCUGCUGUGGCGGAUCCUGCAAUGUUGGCCACAGAGGUGGCUUCUGCUGAGCGUCAGGCUAAGCGUCAAUGCAAGAUCCAGCAGCCAACCCUUAUAAUAGAUGGAGAUCUACCUAUCUCAUAGAGCCGGAAGGGACCUUGAGAGGUCAGGGAGUCCAGUCCGCUGCGCUCCCAGCGGGACCGAGCACCAUCCCUGACAGAUUUGCCCCAAAUGGCCUCAAGGAUUGAGCUGUCAACCCUGGGUUUAGCAGGCUAUUGCUCAACCCCUGAGCUAUCCCUCCCCCAACUGUAGUUAUGAACAGUCCCAUGUCCCCCCACCCAUGUUACGCUGUGAGUGUGGGCUGUGCGCGGCCUAGCGUUGGCCUGCAAGUGCACGGACAAGUCGACCUGGCAACAGCAGUGUUAGGAAUGGGCUUGCGCAGGGCGUGGCGCAUGUACAAGGCAUGGUGGCAAGGUUCUUUGUUCUCCUUUGUAGGAGCAAGGAGGAAAGAAAGAAACCUGGGGUGCUGUUUGGGGGCGAACGUUAGACCUACGCGGAUCGGAGUGCAAGCCACGACGUUCUGCAUUAGAGUAGUAUUACCACCCUCUUGCCGCUAGCCGCGCAUCUGAGUGGAGUAAGACUUGAUAGUCAGCCGUUGGCUCUGUCAGCGGAGAACGAGGACUGAAUUAGCCCCCAUAAUGACCUUCAGUGGUGUCCCUCUAGGUGAUAGUUGCUUCCUCGUGGGAAAACUUGUGUUCCCGUGUCCGGUAACUCUUCUCUCGCUAGCUGGGCACCCAGCAGCCUGGUUACCUCCCUGUUUUCAGCUGUCUUGGCUCUGAGCAGCUGCCUAAACCAGCGCGCAGCUUCCUUCCUUUGCGAUUUCAAGUGUCUGCUUAUCACAGAGAGCCGUCAGUACGUUCUGAGUGCAAAGGCCGCGCCCGACCGGCUCUCCUUUUCACACUCCAUUGUUUCUGACGCCCUUCGCUUUGACAAGGCUGGUUCCGUUGACUGCACCUGCAGUUUGUCAGCCAGCACACGAGCCAACCCCCCUGUGUUACAAUCAGUGUUUGAGUGCAAGGGAUCCACUGCCGUAGAAGUUCGUUCUUCCCUAUGGCUGUGACGCCGUCCAUAGCAGAAUGGCGUUGGCAUCUAGUUCAGAGCCGUAUCCUUGCGGAGCAGAAUGAACUGUCUUCGGCGUGCCCCAAAUGGCACUUGGCUUUCAAAGUAUUUUCUUAGGCAGGGGGAGAAUCAACCUGGCUGUUCACUAAGAGGUCUAGCCUUCCCUCCCACAAACAACUCCGUUUAAACGCUGCUUCCGCUCACGAGCUGGUCUAGACGUACCCCAGGAAAGGCCUUUCCACCUCGGCCUUCAUCACGGGGAAAAAGCGAUUUACAGACUCGGAGCAGGGAGCGUGCGCCGCACGAGUAGAAUUCAGUGUUAAAGCAGCAGUAAAGCUUGUUAGAUCAAAGAGUAUGGGGCUGAGACCUGGUGUCGAAUUCAGCCCUGGGCCCCACUCCGGGUGGGGCCAGUGUAGACUAGCAGCCGAUGUGGCUUCUGUCGUUUGGGUUCGCUGGUGCUAGCCGAACAAUAGCUCGGGAAGUGCAAUGGUGAAUGUAACAUUGCGUGUGUACGUGGAUCACCCUUUGUUUAGCAGCUAGACUGUAUGUGAGCUCCCGUUUCGGGGGGGCUGGUGCUUUUGGUUUUUUGCCACGUUCUGUGUUUGGAUUUUAUUGGAAUGAACUCACCCUGAUGGUUUUCCAUCUCCCUGGUUACUGUGCAGUUGUGGCGUUGUAGAAUAGUUCUCGCCAGACAUUGGCUUCCCUCCCGCCUUC